AUCUACCAACAAACAACAGCUUACCAGCGACAUCAGUCCUUCUUCUUCCACUCUCCAACAGCGACAUCAGGUCCUUCUUCCUCCACGGCGGCCCUUCUUCUUCCACACUCCAACAGGUCACAUUUACAAUCUAAAGUAAAUGGAAUCAAGAUGGUAUAAUAGACCUCGUACGGAUGAUGAUGGUAUGUUAAUGGCAGCGAUAAGAGAUGUGAUUGCUCAAGAUGUAAUGGAAUCACGAAGAAGAACAUAGUAUGACAUUAGUUUGUUAUUCUUGUGCAUUUUUUUCGUGUUUUUUAGCAAUCUGAAUGUAAUAUUAUUAUGUUCUAAUUAGGAAAUUUUAAACUAUAUGUAAACAAAUUUUAUGUUAUAUUUCAUGAAGUUGUUUUUCAA